UGCUGUCCAGGUGCAGUGAGGGCUGUGGCCGGGACCAGGAUCUCAGCUUCCCUGUUCUCUAUCAGGGCUGAUGCUGGGAACUGAGAGCCUUCUUUUGUUUUCCCUCCCACCUCUGGCUGCCUCUCCCUCCCUGCAAAGGUCAGGGCAGUGCCAAGGACAGAAGAGAGGGUAGACCCAGCCUUGGCCCUGCUAGGCUGGGCAGCCUGGGAGGUAGGGCCAGCGGGGGACACAGCCUGGCAGGUGGAUACUGACAGGAGCCCAGCUGGGAGGCCGUCCUGCAGGGCUGGCGAGCUCUGGCACUCCCGGACCCAGAACCGACUUGGUCCCUUACAGCCAUGGUGGCUGUACUAACCACACUCGACUCCACCUUUGCACUAUGAAAAGCAAACAAGCAGACCGAAGAACUGUUUGCAUUUGCCCCAGAUGCUCCCUGGCUGCAGGAAGAGGUCCACAGGGAGCAUGCAGGGAGAGGGAAAGGGAGACAGCCUUCUGCAGGGAGGGCAGGCUGGCUGCCUGGGCCCGGGGAGGGAGGGAGAGAGGGCUCCUCCAGCCCAGCAGAGGCCUGCGGAGGGGCCCUUGUGAGCACAGUGCAUGAAGCCUGAAGAGGUGAUGGUGCUGGAUUCCCCAAUGCCGGGCAUAUUCUGCAUUUCAAGCAGAAUAAUAAUAAGUAGUCUGUUGGCUAUGAGGUGGCAGGAGCUGUUCCUUAGAAGAGAAAGACGGAGACAGAAAGAGAAGCAGACACACAGAGAGACAGAGAUGGAGACAGAAGGAUGCCCAGAGGAAUGGAGAGACAGAGAGAGACACACACAUACAGAUAGGCAAAGGCAUAAAGAGGCCCCCGGCACCCCAGGGUUGUGUUGUAGGGUGGCUUUUUUGUUGUGAAGGCUCACAGCCUAUUUGGCACGGUUGGCCGGCCUUGGCCUCCCGCCGCCAUCAUCCCUGCCCCAGGGAAGGCUGCCUGCUGGCUUCCUCCCACCCCCUUGCCACUGGCAGCAAAACUAAGCAGGGUUAUGACAUCAGCGACUUUUCCCCUUCUCAGCCCCGGGGGAGAUUGGCCAGGUGGGAAAGCAGCAGGAACCUUUUCCAACACUAAUAAACGAUGAACUCAGGUAGCCAGCCCUGGUAUUAGAAACCGGGGGAGACUCUUCAUGGGUUUCACUCAGCCUGAAAGAGAUCCACGUAUUUCCAAGAGCCAAGUCCCAGUCCCUUUUCAGGGCAGCCGGCCAAGCUGGGAGACUGGGAGCUGGAAAUAUGUCCCCUGAAAUACAGGUUUGGUGACUCUGACCGUGAAUGGCCCUGAUUCACAGGGAGGGCUGCUGCUCCUUUGCCUGUUUGCCAACAUUUCAGCACCUGCUGAAAAAUAGAAAGAAGCACCCAGACAGGAGCUCGGGCUGUAUAGGCAGGGAACAAAUGAGACGUUUUCCUACCGUGUAAAAAGCCCACGUGUUCCCGUAGGCAGAGCUUGGCACAAUGUCACCAACCCCUCUUCUUCCUUUCUUUUUUCCAAAUAACCUCCUUUAAGGGAGAGCGCACACCAGUGCUUCGGAGGUAUGUCUCAUUGCGGACACUUUUGUUCAUCGUCAUUGUCCGUCGUCGGGUGUUCCAGCAGCCACCGGCUUCUCAGGAGGAAGAGUCAGUUGUGCACUAAGCGGCAGCACAAAGGGACCGGGCCAAGUGCGCAGGGUGCUGCGGGUGGACGGGGUGCUGCGGGUUGACGGGGUGCCGCUGUGCCGCUGUGCCCCUGAAGCCUUCCGGAGCCUCGGCCUGGGAACCCAGGCAGGGGUGGGGCCCCAGCCCACCGGGCUUUCUGCCUUGCUGACCUCCAAAGACAGACUCACUCAGGUCACUGAGAACCUUCCUCCUGCGUGUGCCGCUUGCUCCUCGACAAGCCUAUUUGUGCCUUGUUGCUGGAAAUGUACCUUUUUUCUCUUCUGACCUGUCCCUGACACCCCUGGCUUAUCUAGCCUGAAGAUAGGCUAUCAAAAUGGCAAUAGUCAGAUGAAAAGCAAGGGAAAAUAAGCCCUUUCCUUUAAGGAAGUAAGACAGAUUCUGGAACUGAAGAAAUUUCGACUCUUCUGCCAGCAUCGUUCCCCCCGCCCCGGGUGUGCUUCUGAGAGGGUCAGAGGUGUCACAACGCUGGACCCUGGGACUGGCCGAGGCAAAACACAGCUGGAGAUUUCUUUUUCUUUUCUUUCUUUUUUUUUUUUUUAAGAUGGAAUCUCACUCUUGUUGCCCAGGCUGGAGUGCAGCGAUGUGAUAUCGGCUCACUGCAACUUCUGCCUCCCAGGUUCAAACAAUUCUCCAGCCUCAGCCUCCUGAAUAAAGUUUGCUGACCCUGGAGAGGAAGUCCUGACCCAUGGCUGGCAGAUGGAAGCCUCAGACAUGAAGAUUUCUCAAAGGCACCUGCUGCUGAGAGUGAUUAAUAUACUUUUGCAGCUGAAGCCUGAUGAUGGCUGGAGGAUAAAGGACAUCACCCAGAUGACAUUUUGCCUCCAAAGGUCUGGGGACCAACUGUGGAAGAACUGCAGGGAUAUGAUGUUAGCAUGUUCUUGUAUCUGGACAGGAUGAGAACUGUCUUAUAACGUAAGUGCAGCCCCCGCAUCUGAGGGCAUGUUUCCUGUGUGUUUAGGCACUUCUAAAGCAGGGAGCACCUUCAUGGGCACUGGCCUUCCCAGAAACAGUGUUGGACCUGUGUUGAUGUCCUGGAGGGUGGGGACCUAGAAAAAGUCCUUAGCCUUCCUGUAAGGCACAAUUCUUCUCCCCUGCAGAGCCUUAAAUCCUCAAGCCAAGUAGUAAGCACUCUGCUCCAGUCUGUGGCUUCAGACACACACAAGACCUGGAGCAAAAUCAAAUAGAAUGUAUCACCACCACUGAGCCCCAGGACCCCCCAGAUGCUUCUGAACAUCAGAGGAGAAGCAGCUCUCGGAGAUCAGGGUGAAUGCAGUGUUAGGGUGCGGCAUUGCCUCUGGGUCCCUGCUUUGGUUUAAUUAAACUAAGUUUGGUGGUAAAUUGGUUCCCAAAUGUUCAUUGGUGGAUGGGCGGCAUCGGAAUUGUCUGAUCAUCUUUUGAAAAACACAUAUGCAAAACUCAUACGCAUGCAUGUCUUCCUCUGAGAGUUUGAUUUUCAGCAGACUUGGGGUGGAUUCCUACUUUUAAGAACUCCUCAUGCCCAUCCUAAGUGAUUGUGACUCCCAGAAAGUGAACGCUGACAAAUUGAACCUGACAUUUACUUAUGAAAUAAAUGGAUGUUUAUUUCACAGUC